AAGUUUUACAAGAAAUACUAGAAAACUGUCCCUAGCCUUUUAUGUUCAUCUUUUGAGUGUCCAUAACAUUGUCCUAUUUUGAGAAUUAACUAAGAACCUGUAUUGCACAGGAAUUAGCUUUUGGAUAUUUGGUGAUGCUUUGUAUUUUUUGAGGCCUCUGAUGCAUUUGCCUGUAGAACUUUACUGGGUGCACUAACAAAAUUGCUGGUGGGAUAACAAAACAUGUUUAUCCAACGACACCUGGAAAAUAAAUCAUAUUGAGAGGAGACAGAUACUGAGUGAAAACAAGCAAGUGUCAGUUCUCAUUGAUAAUCCAUUAUCUUAAGCACCAUAGCAGAGAUAAGUUUUGAAGAGCAAACUGUGGGGAAUAAAAGUUUCAUGUGCUAUUUUUUAUGUAAUUAAUUGGAAAUCUUGUAAAUUAAAGUAGUAUUCUAUUAUGCAAGACAUCUUAAGAAUCAAUGGCACUGCAGCUGGAUGAUUCAUUUAUGAGUCACUUAGAAACCCAUAAAUCAGAAAUUUAUUGUGAGGUUUUUAAUAGUUUUAUUUAUGAAUUAUGAUCAAAAUCUCUGAACACACGUGCUAAAAAUAUGAUUAUCUUAAAUUAAAAGGUCAGCCAAAAUUACAAUGAAAUUACAUGAUGGAAUCUGUAUUUUCAUACUGUUGAUUCCUUGGGAGACGUUUAUAGAGAAAGAUGCAGUUCUCCCCAUGUUUAUCCCAAUCUGAGCCUUCCCAAACUGAACGAACUGUUAUCUCGUUCACAAGCAGCACAGAGGCUUAGCACAACAAUUAAAGCAAUCCUUUUUUCUCUAAUAAUGCAGUAUUAAUACUAAUCUACUUCUGCAGGUAAAACAUAGGCAAACAGAUGGGACUUAGAUCAUUUCUUGAAGUCAACAGGCUUUAGAGAAACGAGAUUCACAAAAGUUUUUACUCCUAAAGCCUGCCACAAAAUGAAAUUUGGAAACAGCAGUGUAUUUACCAGCUAAUGAUAGGACUUGUCGACAGCUGCAGCUCUCCCAACUAGCCAUCAUUUGUACCAUUAAUGGACUUAAAUUUGACACUUGUAAUUGUACCUGUACCAAGUAUACACUUAACUAGUCAGGUGUCAUAAAGCAUGCAGGAAAUCAUGCUGUGAAUGUUGUAAGAUCAUAAUUAAUUUCUUCUUUACUAUAGCUUACCUGCAUUUUAAUCUGGAUUUUUUUCCCUUUGAAAUGGUGGACAGAAAGAAAGUACAGAUCUUAUCUAAUUUUGAAGUUUGUACAUCAAUAAACUUUGUGUUCACCUGAGGACAAGAUUUAAUCGAGUUCAUAGAUCUUUAUAUUUAGAACAUAAGUUCUUAGAGGAAAAAAAAUAUUCUACUCCUUAGUCAUGUGAGUAGUUCUAAAUUAUAGGUGAUGUGCGUGUGAGGAGGGAAUAUUAUUGUGACAGGUUCUGUGAUUUAUUGAAGCUACAUCUUCAUUUUAAAAUCAAGGGUAGUUUUAAGUCAUAUGCUACAGUUCUGGUGUCUAGUAAAUGUAUUGUCCAAAUUCUGGCUGCUUCUGAGCUCGGCAUUAGCAAGCAAAUCUGUUACUGUUUUUGUUAUUUUUUUUGUAACGUCAAGCUGGAGACAGACUCUCCUUCAGUUUUUGUUCCCAUUAUCUCUUCAAGAAGGAAAGGACAACAUCUUUAAAAAUACUUAAGUACCAAGAGAGUGACCCUUCUAAGCUGGAAUGCUGCCCCACUAAUGAUGCAGAGAAGAAAAACAGCCAUUUCUGGCAGAGUUUGCAGGAUCUCUCAUGCCAAACAAAAAAAGUCUAAUAUGCCUGGUAAAAAUAAAUAUCACCAUGAAAUUCUGGCAUGGGAAACAUUUCUGACAGCCAAGGCUUAGCUCAUCCUGGGGGGUAACUCAAAAAGGCCUGUAAUUUUCAUUCUUCAAUCUUAUUCAUCGAAUGUUUCUUGCAAAUGGCAUCAUCUGGACUGUGUUGUCUAUUAGACCAGGUGUCUGCGUGAUAAAAAGUAAAUGAAGCUCUGUGUGUGUGCAAGAAAAUGGGCAGGCCUGUGUGGGAGUAAACUGUUGGUUCUAAAGCAGAAGCAAAGCAGUGACUCUGACAGCUGUACCGGCCAGCUCAUCGGGGAGAGGGACAUGAAUUCCUGUGUGCAGUACAGAGACUUAGCACAUUCAAAACAAUCUGGAAGUAUUCUGUCUUAUAAAAUCUACAGGGAAAAGCAAAUAAUGGAACAAGGGAAAAACAGAAGGAAGAGGAAUUUACAGAUUCAUUAAAAUUGUGAAAUUCUUGGAAAACAAUCCUUAUUUUUUGCUUGUUAGGUAUGUAAAAGAGGGUCUGAGUAUUUAUUAGGGUUGUUGUGAGAGACCACGACAGAAUAUCACAACUUUGUGAGAGCUGAAGAAGGAUUUUUACUGAAAGCACACAAUGAUAUGCCAGUCAUUCACUAAUACAAGAAGACAGAGUGAAGAAUGUUGUUUCCCUUCUGUUACAUAACACUUGAGGUGUUUUCAGGAGUGACAUCUCUGUGGAGUCACUAGAAGAGAAGACAGAUUACAUAGUGGCUGGAGAAUUCCAAAAGAGAUAUUGAGAAACAAUAGACAGGAGAUGGAAAGGGUGGUAUGCAAAUCACUUGCUGAGGGGAAAAAACAACCCAGAGGAAACUGAAACAGUAAAUUCAGAUAUUAAGGUUUAUCUGAGGAAUGUAUUAAAAUUCUCUUCUGCUUUGCAACUUAAUCAUGUUAGUUUCUAAAACCGAAAAUUAGAGUCACCAUUCCCCGUUUGAAACUGAUAGCAUGAGGGUCACUCCAAAAGUAAUGCCUCCUAUUUUAUUAUGUUGGCCUGUGACAUCGGAGGUGGAUGUUGGUGGUAUGGCAGUAGAAGCUGGACCUUCCCACCAGUAUUCCAUUACAUUUCUUUGCUGUUUGACAGCUGGCAGCAGAGGGACAGUCUGACAAAAUGACAUCUGACAUGGAAGUGUGUAUGAAACACAGGUGUGUCAUUGAGUUCAUCCGUGGGGGGGGAGGGAAAUGGCACCCGCUGAUGCUUACUGAAUGUUUUUGGAGACCAAACAGUGAAUGUGAGGUGGUGUGUUUCAGCAGUGGUGACAGCAACAUGAAAGAUGAGCCACGUUCUGGACAGCCAUUCAGAUUAUUAGAAGUAUGGUGUGCAGGCUCUUGUUCAUUGCUGGUGAAAAUGCAUAACUAACUGUGGUGGCCAUGAUGAAAAACAGUGUUUUAUAGCUGAGAAUUGGCUCUAUCAAAUAGUGUUAUUGUGCUCUUUGUUUCUGUUGUUGUGUGUCUGUGUAAAUGAAAAGGAAGUGUUACUUUCAGAGCGACCUACAUAACAUGGAAGGUAGUAAGAAACUGUCCUCAAAAUUCCAACUCUUUAAUGCAUUAAAGUUUACAUAUUGUUAAUGAGAGAGGAACAAUGAUGAAAUUUAUGUAUGGAUUGGUUUCCCCUAAACACUGUGUCUGGAGUACAGUUCUGGUAUUUACCAAGCAUACUCAGUAUGUUCUAAGUUAUGUGAAGCAGAAUCUUACAGUCUCUCUGACAAACUUUUUGCUGUGAAUUAAAAGCAUGAUUUUAUGCUUGUUGAAAUCCUUGGUUAAGCUUCCAUCGACUCUGCUGACCUAGACUGAAGUUCAAAUGGAAAUGCAAGACACAACCCCACAUUACCUUGAAUUCUCUGAACAUUACUCUUAGUUAAACGUUACAUUUUAAAUACUGUUAAAGUAUGCUAAAACUGCAAUGACAUGGGCAUGAGUGUAUAUGACUGUGAGGGAGGUUGAAUGUAUGCGUGUAGAUGUUUGAGUGGCUGAACUUAGACUUGCAUGAAGUGUGGAUGCAACUUUGGAUCUUACUCCCACCUAUGCCUUUAUUCAGGUCUCACUUGGUGUAGGUAAGAAGCAAUUAAUUUGUUCCCUGAUUCACACUUAUCAAGAAGUAAUAUGAGAGAGGGAGAGGUGUUAAGAGGCGUCUCUGAUUCAGCCACCUGAUAGGAAAGCAGAUGGUUGACAUCUCUUAUCAGGAAGACUCAAGGCUUGUGUGUGCUGGCAGUACUUGCCUAACCCAUCGUGCCAGUGAAGCAUAAGAACUGAAUCAUCUUCAAGAAAGAAAACACUCUUUAUCUGUCUGUCUGCAUUUUUACAUGUCACUCGUCUCCAUAGUGGCUGGGAUUCUAUAAACAAGAAACAUUUGUAAGCUGAGGGGAAUAUACGUUUGUGUUUUUCACAUCUGUUCCUAUGACUCCUUGUUUCUCUUGCAGGUCCAAUUCAGAUACUCUAUUAUUUUUUUGAGAAAGAAAACUCAGUCCAUCAAAGAUAUUCUGGAUAUGGAGGUAUAAGGUCACCUUUCUUUCUAGUUGUGUGAUUGAGUUCCACCGCAAACUUUUUACCUGAACAUGGAAACUAUUGAUUACAAACCAUAUUAAGAGCAUCAAAGACAGGCACAGGUCCUCAAUUCUUUGGAAUAUGCUUCUCAGUGCCUGCAAAAAUUAAUUUAGGAGCCACAACUUCUUGCUUAUCCACUUGAAUGUGUUCGGAGAAGAAAAGUUAUUAGGCUUGUGCCUUCAAACUGAAUUCUUCUACUGGUAGCCUUUAACAGAACAUUUUCCUUUUUUGAUCUUCCUUUUUCUCUUCUUUUUUUUCCUGUGCCAGUUAAGGUAUUAAACUGCGGUCUUCCUAAGGCUAGGCCACAGGCUACCUUUGCAAUGCAGACAUUGUGCAAGGCCUGGGUAGCUGCCUUUUCACUGCAGGAAGGAGUCCAAUCGGGAGUAGAAGAGGGUGUAUUUGCAUUAUUUUUACAUAGAAGAUGCAAGGGAACCGGCAAGAGAGAGAGCAGAACCAGCUUGCAGGACGCCCAGGAGGAGUUACUGUCUCAUAGAGAACAUGAAGAAAGUGACUUCUGAGGCCGAACAGUCCAUCUGCGUCUUCCUAUAUAUGGGUGUUCAUCCAAGACCAGACACAGGAUGAUGCCUCUUGGGGCUUCAUACCCUGCAAAGUUUAGAAACAAGACAAAUUGUUUUGCUUGACACACCUUUUAAUACAUUCCAGAAUGAAAUGCAAUUUUUAGCACCAGCAUUGCACUGUUGAUUUAUAUUGUUUGUUAUACAUAUAGCCCUAAUAUGUUUUUUGCUAUAUUUCUCCCCUGUCAGGAGUUCAUAUUUUAUAUUGAUGAUUGUUUCAGAAUGAUAAUAUUUCACAUUUCUCAUUACUGUUUUUUCCUUGUUGGUUUUUAGACAAUCUGUCCAACUGUCAAUAGCAUUUGAGAUCUGUGAUCUCAUCCUUCCUAGCAUUUGUGUUCCCAUUGCCAUUGUUUUGAGAUUAUCCAGUGUUGUUAGUAUGGAUUUUCAAGUAUAAACAUUGCAUUGCUUAAGUCAUCAGUAAACACACAAAACAAAACAGGGCUUAGGACAAGCCUUGAAAGGUAGCAAUUGAAGUACCUUGGAAUUUUGGUAAAUAACCACUGAUGAACACUAUGAUUUUAUUCUAUCAAAUGCCUAUGGGCCUUUCACUAGUUUUAUUUAAAACAUGAUUAUGUGAAAAUGUAUUGUGAGAUGGUGUCAAAAGCUGGACAACAUUUACAGUGUCCAUUGCCUUCUGCUUACCCACUGAGCUUAACAAUGCUCCUAAGAUGGAGGCUAGUCUGACACAAAUGCAUCUUGCUCCUAUUAAAUUAAUUCAUAUUAUGUUAUAUAUUUUAAGCAUGAAUUUUGCAAGCCUCUGUGAACAUAACACUUAAGCUACAACAGAAGUUUUUACUAGGAAAUUUCCUUCUAGAAGGUUUCUUCUAGUAAAUUGAGGUGUGUAGAAGCAUCUUCCCAAAGAAGGGCUAUUUGAAUACUUUGAAGUACUUUGAAAGGUAAAAGCGAAAUUGCCCAUCACGUCUUUCUCUUUUUCUACUACUUAUUCAAGCCUUUGUGGUUUAAAAAAUAGUUAAUCUUCUCUAAUAAUCCUACGUGUUUCCUUUCUUCCUCUUCCAAUGACAUAGUGUCAUUGGUUCUGUUUUUCCUGACAGAGUCGCUAUGUUCUGAAAAUAAUGGUAACUGCUAUGUUAUUUCAUAGUAGUUAAUUUCUCUCAUUCAAUUUAUUUAAUCUUGUGAUUUUGGGGGGGUAGAAAUUGUGACAUGAAAUGAUUAUGAUGAUGAUAGCCUUCUCCCUGUUGACUUUAUAUUGCCUGUUUUAUUUGAUUCAGUGUAUUGUCAUGUCAGCUAAUCAUUAAUUAUAUUUUAAUUACUUCUUUCUCACUUCUAUGUUAUAUAGAUAUGUUAUAUAUCACUUAUCAGUGAUCUAUAUGUUAUUACAAGUUACGUAAUGUUCCUCAUAACUGUGGGUAAAAUAAAAUGCACACCUUGUGCAAGUGUUAAAAUGCA